GUGAGGAAUAUUGCACAAUAGGCGCAAGCCUGAUGCAGCAACGCCGCGUGGACGAUGAAGGCCUUCGGGUUGUAAAGUCCUUUUCUGGGGGAAGACAUGGACGGUACCCCAGGAAUAAGUGUCGGCUAACUACGUGCCAGCAGCCGCGGUAAAACGUAGGACGCGAGCGUUAUCCGGAUUUACUGGGCGUAAAGCGCGUGCAGGCGGUCUGUUAAGUCGUGCGUGAAAGCUCCCUGGCUCAACCGGGAGAGGUCGUACGAAACUGGCAGGCUUGAGGGCAGCAGAGGAGUGUGGAAUUCCGGGUGUAGUGGUGAAAUGCGUAGAUAUCCGGAGGAACACCAGUGGCGAAGGCGACACUCUGGGCUGUACCUGACGCUAAGACGCGAAAGCAUGGGGAGCAAACAGGAUUAGAAACCCCUGUAGUCC
rnacentral:rRNA from 1 species